rnacentral:rRNA from 1 species
UAGGGAAUCUUCGGCAAUGGGGGGAACCCUGACCGAGCAACGCCGCGUGAGUGAAGAAGGUUUUCGGAUCGUAAAGCUCUGUUGUUAAGGAAGAACGAGUGUGAGAAUGGAAAGUUCAUACUGUGACGGUACUUAACCAGAAAGGGACGGCUAACUACGUGCCAGCAGCCGCGGUAAUACGUAGGUCCCGAGCGUUGUCCGGAUUUAUUGGGCGUAAAGCGAGCGCAGGCGGUUAGAAAAGUCUGAAGUGAAAGGCAGUGGCUCAACCAUUGUAGGCUUUGGAAACUGUUUAACUUGAGUGCAGAAGGGGAGAGUGGAAUUCCAUGUGUAGCGGUGAAAUGCGUAGAUAUAUGGAGGAACACCGGUGGCGAAAGCGGCUCUCUGGUCUGUCACUGACGCUGAGGCUCGAAAGCGUGGGUAGCGAACAGGAUUAGAUACCCUGGUAGUCCACGCCGUAAACGCUGAGUGCUAGGUGUUAGGUCCUUUCCGGGACUUAGUGCCGACGCUAACGCAUUAAGCACUCCGCCUGGGGAGUACGACCGCAAGGUUG